rnacentral:tRNA from 1 species
UAAGAAAUUAGUUAAUAAAAUCACAUAACAUUAAUUUGUCAAAUUAAAAUAAAUAAAUAAAUUUAUUUCUUA